rnacentral:rRNA from 1 species
AACGAACGCUGGCGGCAAGCCUAACACAUGCAAGUCGAACGGACUCUAUCGGUAGCUUGCUAUCGGUAUGGUUAGUGGCAGACGGGUGAGUAAUGCAUAGGAAUCUGCCCAGUAGUAUGGGAUAGCCACUAGAAAUGGUGGGUAAUACUGUAUAAUCCCUGCGGGGGAAAGAUUUAUCGCUACUGGAUGAGCCUAUGUUAGAUUAGCUAGUUGGUGGGGUAAUGGCCUACCAAGGCGAUGAUCUAUAGCUGGUCUGAGAGGAUGAUCAGCCACACUGGAACUGAGACACGGUCCAGACUCCUACGGGAGGCAGCAGUGGGGAAUAUUGGACAAUGGGCGCAAGCCUGAUCCAGCUAUGCCGCGUGAGUGAGGAAGGCCUUAGGGUUGUAAAACUCUUUCAGUAGGGAAGAUAAUGACGGUACCUACAGAAGAAGUCC